rnacentral:rRNA from 1 species
GACAGAGGGUGCAAACGUUGCUCGGAAUUACUGGCGUAAAGCGCGUGUAGGCGGUUCCGCCAGUCUGGUGUGAAAGCCCGGGCUCAACCCCGGAAGCGCAUUGGAUACUACGGAGCUUGAGUCCUGAAGAGGAGAGCGGAAUUCCCGGUGUAGAGGUGAAAUGCGCAGAUAUCGGGAAGAACACCCGUGGCGAAGGCGGCUCUCUGGGACGGUACUGACGCUGAGACGCGAAAAGCGUGGGGAGCGAACAGG